ACUUUUUCUCUGCAUAGGAGACAUCUUCUACACCAAAUUUAAUUUUGAGCUGUCGGCAUUUGAAUCCAGAUUUUUGUCUUCUUAUUCAAGUGGGUUGUGCUAAAGAGACGAGUCAUUCUGAAUUCGAUUUGCUUUCGCUCUCCUUGGUAGACGCCCCCGUAAAAUUUGAGACAUGAGCAGCUGAAUUCAGAUUUGUUCCUUCUGUAACGUAAACGCUCAAGUGGAAUGUGUUAAAAGGACGAUUAAUUCUGUCGUUGUAAUGCUUUUCAUCUGCAUAGAAGACAUUCCAUUCACCAAAUUUAAAUGUGAAGAGAGGGCAAUUGAAUACAAAUUUUUA